AUGAAUAAGCUUUAUAUCAGUUACCUGUUGAAAUUAAAAUAUAUCAGAAAUAUGGGAUUAAAAAAUAUAUCAUUAACUUUAAUUGUACCUAUUUCUUUUCACUAUUUUAGCAAAAAUUUUAUUGGAGUAAGUUCACAUGCUAGUAAAGUAAUGCUCAAAAUUCUCCAAACCAGGCUUCAGCAAUACGUGAACCGUGAACUUCCUGUUGUUCAAGCUGGUUUUAGAAAAGGCAGAGGAACUAGAGAUCAAAUUGCCAACAUCCGCUGGAUCAUGGAAAAAGCAAGGGAGUUUCAGGAAAACAUCCAUUUCGGCUUUAUUGACUAUGCUAAAGCCUUUGACUGUGUGGAUCACAAUAAACUGUGGACAAUUCUGAAAGAGAUGGGAAUACCAGACAACCUGACCUGCCUCUUGAGAAAUCUGUAUGCAGGUCAGGAAACAGCAGUUAGAACUGGACAUGGAACAACAGACUGGUUACAAAUAGGAAAAGGAGUAUGUCAAGGCUGUGUAUUGUCACCCUGCUUAUUUAACUUAUAUGCAGAGUACAUCAUGAGAAAAGCUAGACUGGAAGAAACACAAGCUGGAAUCAAGAUUGCUGGGAGAAAUAUCAGUAACCUCAGAUAUGCAGAUGACACCACCCUUAUGGCAGAAAGUGAGGAGGAACUAAAAAGCCUCUUGAUGAAAGUGAAAGUGGAGAGUGAAAAAGUAAGCCUAAAGCUCAACAUUCAGAAAACCAAGAUCAUGGCAUCUGGUCCCAUCACUUCAUGGGAAAUAGAUGGAGAAACAGUGGAAACAGUGUCAGACUUUAUUUUUUUGAGCUUCAAAAUCACUGCAGAUGGUGAUUGCAGCCAUGAAAUUAAAAGAUGCUUACUCCUUGGAAGAAAAGUUAUGACCAACCUAGAUAGUAUAUUCAAAAGCAGAGACAUUACUUUGCUGACUAAGGUCCGUCUAGUCAAGGCUAUGGUUUUUCCUGUGGUCAUGUAUGGAUGUGAGAGUUGGACUGUGAAGAAGGCUGAGCGCCGAAGAAUUGAUGCUUUUGAACUGUGA
rnacentral:lncRNA from 1 species